ACGCAUUAAGCACUCCGCCUGGGGAGUACGACCGCAAGGUUGAAACUCAAAGGAAUUGACGGGGGCCCGCACAAGCGGUGGAGCAUGUGGUUUAAUUCGAAGCAACGCGAAGAACCUUACCAGGUCUUGACAUCCUUUGACCACUCUAGAGAUAGAGCUUCCCCUUCGGGGGCAAAGUGACAGGUGGUGCAUGGUUGUCGUCAGCUCGUGUCGUGAGAUGUUGGGUUAAGUCCCGCAACGAGCGCAACCCUUAUUGUUAGUUGCCAUCAUUCAGUUGGGCACUCUAGCAAGACUGCCGGUGACAAACCGGAGGAAGGUGGGGAUGACGUCAAAUCAUCAUGCCCCUUAUGACCUGGGCUACACACGUGCUACAAUGGGAAGUACAACGAGUUGCGAAGUCGCGAGGCUAAGCUAAUCUCUUAAAGCUUCUCUCAGUUCGGAUUGCAGGCUGCAACUCGCCUGCAUGAAGCCGGAAUCGCUAGUAAUCGCGGAUCAGCACGCCGCGGUGAAUACGUUCCCGGGCCUUGUACACACCGCCCGUCACACCACGAGAGUUUGUAACACCCGAAGUCGGUGAGGUAACCUUUUGGAGCCAGCCGCCUAAGGUGGGAUAGAUGAUUGGGG
rnacentral:rRNA from 1 species